rnacentral:rRNA from 1 species
UGGGGAAUAUUGCACAAUGGGCGCAAGCCUGAUGCAGCGACGCCGCGUGAGGGAUGGAGGCCUUCGGGUUGUGAACCUCUUUCGCUCAUGGUCAAGCCGCAACAAUGGUUGUGGUGAGGGUAGUGGGUAAAGAAGCGCCGGCUAACUACGUGCCAGCAGCCGCGGUAAUACGUAGGGCGCGAGCGUUGUCCGGAAUUAUUGGGCGUAAAGGGCUUGUAGGCGGUUGGUCGCGUCUGCCGUGAAAUCCUCUGGCUUAACUGGGGGCGUGCGGUGGGUACGGGCUGACUUGAGUGCGGUAGGGGAGACUGGAACUCCUGGUGUAGCGGUGGAAUGCGCAGAUAUCAGGAAGAACACCGGUGGCGAAGGCGGGUCUCUGGGCCGUUACUGACGCUGAGGAGCGAAAGCGUGGGGAGCGAACAGGAUUAGAUACCCUGGUAGUCCACGCUGUAAACGUUGGGCACUAGGUGUGGGGGCCACCCGUGGUUUCUGCGCCGUAGCUAACGCUUUAAGUGCCCCGCCUGGGGAGUACGGCCGCAAGGCUA